rnacentral:rRNA from 1 species
UACGUAGGCAGCGAGCGUUGUUCGGAGUUACUGGGCGUAAAGCGCGUGUAGGCGGCCCGGUAAGUCCGCUGUGAAAGUCCAGGGCUCAACCCUGGGAUGCCGGUGGAUACUGUCGGGCUCGAGUCCGGAAGAGGCGAGUGGAAUUCCUGGUGUAGCGGUGAAAUGCGCAGAUAUCAGGAGGAACACCGGUGGCGAAGGCGGGUCUCUGGGCCGAUACUGACGCUGAGGAGCGAAAGCGUGGGGAGCGAACAGG